rnacentral:rRNA from 1 species
AUGAGCAGAGCGGCCAAGGAGCUUCGCAUUUGGAGCAAGGAUCUGAUCGGUGACACGAAGCUUCAGUUCCACAUUGCAUGUGAAGUCAUUCUGCGCCUCGAUCUUGCCCAGGAGAGACAGCGGCUCUCGACGGCAGAAGCUGAGCUCAGAAAAGGCCUAAAGAUCAAGUUACUAGGCCUUGCGGCGAUCGAGCGCUGCAGGAAAAGGCAAGCCUCCCGCCUCACCUGGCUGCGUGCGGGAGACGCCCCCACCAAAUUCUUCAUGGCCAAGAUCAGCUCAAGAAGGCGCAAGAACUUCAUCAGCGCUCUAAAAGUGGGAGACAACGUUGUGACUGUGCACGCUGAGAAGGAAAAGGCAAUACAUGAUCAUUUCAACUGCAUCCUGGGAUCCACCCAGCACCGAACCAAGUCGAUCAACUGGGAUGAGCUGCGUAUGCCUUCUGUGCAAGCAAAUGGCCUGGACAACCCG